rnacentral:tRNA from 2 species
GUUCACAUAGGCUCACCAGGUAGAGCACAAGCCUCCUAAGGCUUGGGGUAACGGGUUCAAUUCCCGUUGUGAACGCCA